rnacentral:tRNA from 1 species
AUCUGCUUGGAGCUUGUUAGAAAGCGUUCCAUUUACACUGGAUUUGUGAUUGUGCAAAUCAAUCCUGGCUGAA